rnacentral:ncRNA from 1 species
UUAUCUUGACUUAAAAGUAAAAUGAAGUGUUUAACAAAUAUUAAUAUUUUAAUCAGGUAACCAGAAAUAACAUUAUCUCAAUGCAAAGCUUGGCUCUGACUUACAUGUACAACAAGGAUAAAGAAAUACACAUGGUACUUAUUAGAAGAGGUGAGGAUAAAUAAUGUAAAAACUAAAAGUGUAAAACUUUAUUAUUUCACAUUACUAUUAGUAUUAUAAACUGCAUGAUGCUCUGACUAUGUCCCACUAACACCAGUGACUAAUAUUAAUUUAAGGGUGAGAGCUUGUCUUAGACUAAUCUUGUAGGUCUGGUUAACUUGGUGCCAGCAUCCGCGGUUAUACCAAGAAGACCAAGUUGUACUUAGCACGGUUAAAAGACAGUUAGGUAAAAAGUUUUUGUUAUUAGAUUUCUUGUUUAAGGGUGCAAUCUGAAUUCAAGCAAAAGUUCUGUAAAUAACAUUAUCUUUAACACUGAAGCUGUGAAAAUCUAGAGGGAAACUAGGAUUAGAUACCCUACUAUUCUUGAUAGUAAAUUGAUGUUCAUUAAAUCUACCAGAGUACUACGAAACAUAAUAAAAUUUAAAACUCAAAGGGCUUGGCGGUGCUUUAGACCACUUAGGGGAACCUGUCUCAUAAUCGACAAUCCACGUAAUACCCUACCUUAGUUUGCUUCCAGUAUGUAUACCGUCGUCGGCAGGUAACUUUUAAGAAAUAAGAAGUUAGCAAAAUAAGAUCCUAAAACUAACUUAUCUGUUACGUCAGAUCAUGGUGCAGCCUAUAUUAAGGAGAGGAUGGGUUACAAUUAAGAUUCAUAAUUACGGAAGAAAACAAGAAUUACCUGUUGUCAGAAGGAGGACUUAAAAGUAAAUGUAACUAGAUAAAUUCAUUGAAUAAGGCUCUGAAGCGUGCACACAUCGCCCGUCGCUCUCGUUGAAAAAUGAGAUAAGUCGUAACAUAGUAGGAGUAAUGGAAAUUGCUCCUUGUUG